rnacentral:rRNA from 1 species
AAAACAACUCUCAGCAACGGAUAUCUUGGCUCUUGCAACGAUGAAGAACGCAGCGAAAUGCGAUACGUAGUGUGAAUUGCAGAAUUCCG